ACAAAACUUGCACUGUAGCCUCGAUGACACGAGCAGACAGCUGUUGUUAGAGGCACUUAAGGAAAGGGCCAAUACCUGCAUCUUAUUAAACCAACAGGACAUUUGGAGAUGAAUGACAUCCUGAUUGGUAGCCAUGUUUGAUUGCACCCACCCACCAGUGUUAAUCCAUAACCCACGAGACAAGAGCAGAUUUUGAUCUUUCACCCACUGCCUAACAUGGAGAAAAUAGUUUGGCAGCUGGAGCACUCCAAGAAACUGCAGAUGGCUGGGCGAUGCUUGAAAGAGAGAAAGAAGUGGAAAAAUGGCAGCACCAAAUUUGGAGCAGAGAGUGGAGUCAUUAAAAGCAUUUCAGUACAAAUUCAACUGACAUGAC